UACGGAGGGGGCUAGCGUUGUUCGGAAUUACUGGGCGUAAAGCGCACGUAGGCGGCUUUGUAAGUUAGAGGUGAAAGCCCGGGGCUCAACUCCGGAAUUGCCUUUAAGACUGCAUCGCUCGAAUUGUGGAGAGGUAAGUGGAAUUCCGAGUGUAGAGGUGAAAUGCGUAGAGACCCGGAGGAACACCAGUGGCGAAGGCGGCUUCGUGGUCUGCGACUGACGCUGUGGCGCGAAAGCUAGGGGAGCAAACGGG
rnacentral:rRNA from 1 species